rnacentral:lncRNA from 1 species
AUUGGACAUGGAAUGGCAUCAAUGGGAGAAAAAUAAGUAGAUUGGAAGUUUUUUACCUCCAGACUAAAAAAUUGUGAAGAAUGUCAUUCAGAAAUGUGACAUUGCAGCUGCACAGGGAUUUGGGAUGAUGACUUGCAAGGAUUGCCUCUGGACUAGUGGUUACUCUUUGGUAACAUUUAAAAAGACAAUUUCUUAAUGUCCGGCACAGUGAACUUCAUCUCCGUUAUGAACAAGGAAAAGCUGAUCACUGAUGGGAAAAUCACAGGUGCUGAGAUACACCUACAUCAGUCAUGAAAAUUUGAGACUGCAAGAGAGCCAAGAUUUUACCCACAUGGAUUCUGAAGUUGAUGAUGACUGUGGAUAACAUCAGGCGUCACAGAUACAAAACACCUUCCAGACAUGAAACGCGGGAUGGAUGACCCUGAGGGACACAGAUUCAGGUAAGUGAAAUUUCUUGUGGAUCGUGACUGAUUAGGGACUUAGAUACCAAACACAAGUGCUGGUAUCCUUUUUGGGCCAUGCAGGUACUCCUUACGAUAGCAAAAUUCCAAGCUUCAAAUGCCACCCCAAGUCAAGAAUUGUAAGGCUCUACAUGAGUAGAAUGUGUGGUUAGGCAAGAGGCUUCCUGUUCAACCAAACCGUGCCAUAGUUGUUGACAAUAAAUAUUCGGUAUCUUUCUCCGACG